GAUGAACGCUGGCGGCGUGCCUAAUACAUGCAAGUAGAACGCUGAAGCUUGGUGCUUGCACCGAGCGGAUGAGUUGCGAACGGGUGAGUAACGCGUAGGUAACCUGCCUCUUAGCGGGGGAUAACUAUUGGAAACGAUAGCUAAUACCGCAUAAAAGUCGAUAUCGCAUGAUAUUGAUUUGAAAGGUGCAAAUGCAUCACUAAGAGAUGGACCUGCGUUGUAUUAGCUAGUUGGUGAGGUAACGGCUCACCAAGGCGACGAUACAUAGCCGACCUGAGAGGGUGAUCGGCCACACUGGGACUGAGACAAGGCCCAGACUCCUACGGGAGGCAGCAGUAGGGAAUCUUCGGCAAUGGGGGGAACCCUGACCGAGCAACGCCGCGUGAGUGAAGAAGGUUUUCGGAUCGUAAAGCUCUGUUGUAAGGGAAGAACGAGUGUGAGAGUGGAAAGUUCACACUGUGACGGUAACUUACCAGAAAGGGACGGCUAACUACGUG
rnacentral:rRNA from 1 species